rnacentral:rRNA from 1 species
AUUGAACGCUGGCGGCAUGCCUUACACAUGCAAGUCGAACGGCAGCACGGGAGCAAUCCUGGUGGCGAGUGGCGAACGGGUGAGUAAUAUAUCGGAACGUGCCCAGUUGGGGGGAUAACGUAGCGAAAGCUACGCUAAUACCGCAUACGAUCUAUGGAUGAAAGCGGGGGAUUGCAAGACCUCGCGCGAUUGGAGCGGCCGAUAGCAGAUUAGGUAGUUGGUGGGGUAAAGGUCCACCAAGCCGCCGAUCUGUAGCUGGUCUGAGAGGACGACCAGCCACACUGGGACUGAGACGCGGCCCAGACUCCUACGGGAGGGAGCAGUGGGGAAUUUUGGACAAUGGGCGCAAGCCUGAUCCAGCAAUGCCGCGUGCAGGAUGAAGGCCUUCGGGUUGUAAACUGCUUUUGUACGGAGCGAAAAGGCUUGCACUAAUACUGGGGGCUGAUGACGGUACCGUAAGAAUAAGCACCGGCUAAGUACGUGCCAGCCGCCGCCGUAAAAC